UAGUCCACGCCGUAAACGAUGAUAACUAGCUGUUCGGGCCCACAGGGCUUGAGUGGCGCAGCUAACGCAUUAAGUUAUCCGCCUGGGGAGUACGGUCGCAAGAUUAAAACUCAAAGGAAUUGACGGGGGCCUGCACAAGCGGUGGAGCAUGUGGUUUAAUUCGACGCAACGCGCAGAACCUUACCAGCUUUUGACAUCCUGGUCGCGGAUUUGGGAGACCAUUUCCUUCAGUUCGGCUGGACCAGUGACAGGUGCUGCAUGGCUGUCGUCAGCUCGUGUCGUGAGAUGUUGGGUUAAGUCCCGCAACGAGCGCAACCCUCAUCCUUAGUUGCCAGCAUUUAGUUGGGCACUCUAAGGAAACUGCCGGUGAUAAGCCGGAGGAAGGUGGGGAUGACGUCAAGUCCUCAUGGCCCUUACAAGCUGGGCUACACACGUGCUACAAUGGCGAUGACAGUGAGCAGCUAACCCGCGAGGGCAAGCUAAUCUCUAAAAGUCGU
rnacentral:rRNA from 1 species